rnacentral:rRNA from 7 species
UAUAUCGAUCAAGUUAGUAAGGGCAUACGGUGAAUGCCUUGGCGCUAGGAGUCGAUGAAGGACGCGGUAAGCUGCGAUAAGCUUCGGGGAGGUGCAAGCAACCUUCGAUCCGGAGAUUUCCGAAUGGGGGAACCCGGCUGGGGUAAUGCCCAGUCACUCCUACCUGAACACAUAGGGUAGGUAGAGACAACCCAGGGAAUUGAAACAUCUAAGUACCUGGAGGAACAGAAAGUAAUAACGAUUCCGUAAGUAGCGGCGAGCGAACGCGGAACAGCCCAAACCGUCUAAGUGUUAAAGCGGCAGGCGUUGCUUAGGCGGGGUUGUAGGAGUUACCAGGUCGUGCUGCCCACGACCGGAGAGUUACAAAACUCAUUGCUAGUCGAAUGAUUCUGGAAAGAACAGCCACAGAAGGUAAAAGCCCUGUAGGUAAAAGCUUUGAGACUCUCGGUGACCACCUGAGUACCGCGGGACACGGGAAAUCCUGUGGGAAGUCACGAAGACCACUUCGUAAGGCUAAAUACUCCCUAGCGACCGAUAGUGAACUAGUACCGUGAGGGAAAGGUGAAAAGUACCCCGGGAGGGGAGUGAAAUAGUACCUGAAACCGUAUGCUUACAAGCAGUCGGAGGAAGACUUUAAGUCUUCUGACGGCGUGCCUUUUGUAGAAUGAUCCUGCGAGUUAUGGUGUGUAGCGAGGUUAAGCGAAAGCGGAGCCGUAGCGAAAGCGAGUCUUUAAACGGGCGUUUAGUUGCAUGCUGUAGACCCGAAGCUGCGUGAUCUAUCCAUGGGCAGGUUGAAGCGAGGGUAAGACCUCGUGGAGGACCGAACCGACUUCAGUUGAAAAUGGAGCGGAUGACCUGUGGAUCGGAGUGAAAGGCUAAUCAAACGCAGUUAUAGCUGGUUCUCCCCGAAAUAGCUUUAGGGCUAGCCUCGGAUGUUUUGUUGUGGUGGUAGAGCACUGAUUGGACUAGGGGCCUCACCAGGUUACCAAACCCAGUCAAACUCCGAAUGCCAUAACUUUAGAAUCCGGGAGUCAGACAGCGGGUGAUAAGAUUCGUUGUCGAGAGGGAAACAGCCCAGACCGUCGGCUAAGGUCCCCAAAUCUAUGCUAAGUGGCAAAGGAUGUGGCGUUGCACAGACAACCAGGAGGUUGGCUUAGAAGCAGCCAUCCUUCAAAGAAUGCGUAAUAGCUCACUGGUCAAGUGAUACUGCGCCGAAAAUGUAACGGGGCUCAAGCAUAGUACCGAAGCUGCGGCAGUGCAUUUAUGUGCUGGGUAGGGGAGCAUUGUCUGCGGGAUGAAGUCAACGUGUAAACGUUGGUGGACUUCAGACAAGUGAGAAUGCAGGAAUGAGUAGCGAGAGUCAGGCGAGAAACCUGACCGCCGUAAACCCAAGGUUUCCAGGGUAAAGCUAAUCUGCCCUGGGUUAGUCGGGACCUAAGGCGAGGCCGAAAGGCGUAGUCGAUGGACAACGGGUAGAUAUUCCCGUACCACCGAGUCGCGUUAUCAGCGAGGGGGUGACGGAGAAGGGUAGCUCAGCACGGCGUUGGUUGUCCGUGUUUAAGCCGGUAGGGCGUCUCCUAGGCAAAUCCGGGAGGCAUUAAGCCUGAGAGGUGAUGACGAGCCGAUUGAGGCGAAGUGAGUGAUCCCAUGCUUCCAAGAAAAACCUCUAGCGAGUGGCUUUGGUGCCCGUACCCCAAACCGACACAGGUGGGUAAGUAGAGAAUACUAAGGCGAUCGAGAGAACUCUGGUUAAGGAACUCGGCAAAAUAGCCCCGUAACUUCGGGAGAAGGGGCGCCACAUUAGCGUGUAAGGUUUUCCCCCAAGCGUGAAGUGGCCGCAGUGAAAAGGCCCAGGCGACUGUUUACUAAAAACACAGGUCUCUGCUAAGUCGUAAGACGAUGUAUAGGGGCUGACGCCUGCCCGGUGCCGGAAGGUUACGAGGAGGGGUUAGCGGAUUUUUCGGAUGAUGCGAAGCUCUGAAUCUAAGCCCCGGUAAACGGCGGCCGUAACUAUAACGGUCCUAAGGUAGCGAAAUUCCUUGUCGGGUAAGUUCCGACCCGCACGAAAGGCGUAACGAUCUGGGCGCUGUCUCAACCAGAGACUCGGCGAAAUUGUAUUACCGGUAAAGAUGCCGGUUUCCUGCAGCAAGACGGAAAGACCCCGUGAACCUUUACUGCAGCUUGAUAUUGGAUUUUGAUUCAUCGUGUACAGGAUAGGUGGGAGGCUUUGAAGCUGGGGCGCAAGCCCUGGUGGAGCCAACCUUGGGAUACCACCCUUGAUGUAUUGAGGUUCUAACGGUAGGCCGUUAUCCGGCUACCGAACAGUGUCAGGUGGGCAGUUUGACUGGGGCGGUCGCCUCAAUUUGGGGCGCCCUGGCGGUGACGUCAGGGGCAAAUCUGGCUGUAUGCUGGGAGGUCCGUUCCCUAGCUAACUUUCGACUCCGUAAAGUAAGCGAAGGGAUGAAGAAUCCAGAGUUACCCAAUUUCAUGGGUGAAAAUACUACUGGUGCGGAUAAUCAGCAGGGAAGUCCUAGAAACCUCAAAAGAUUCCAACAAAUUCUAGUGACCCCUCAACGACUAUACGCCAGACUCGCAAAUUAAAUUCUAACAGUAACUUAACUCCAAAAAUUAAUUGGCGAGAUGAUAUAGUCUGAACUUCAUAGCGAUAUGAAGCCCGAAAGGGAGUCUAGCAAGGAGAAAAAGGUGCAUUCUAAUGAGAUUGAAGCUUAUAAGCGAGAUCUAAAACUUAGCCGUGAGCAGCGAGACGUAUUAGUUGGUCUGCUGCUUGGGGACGGUCAUUUAGAGACGCAAAAUGGUGGCAAAACCUACAGGCUGAAGAUCGAAUAUGCGAUCAAAAAUGGCGACUAUUGUCGGCAUGUAUACGAGAUUUUCAGGGAGUGGGUGUUGACGCCGCCAAGGGAAAGGGUCGUGAAAAGCGGCGAGCAUCAAUCAGUCAACUUAGUGUUUAGUACCGUAAGUCAUGGAGCAUUUAGAUUUUAUGCCCAGCAGUUUUACAAAGAUGGCAAGAAGGUUGUGCCAUCGAUGAUCAAGAGACUGCUGAAGGCGCAAGGUUUAGCUUAUUGGUUUAUGGAUGAUGGAUCGGUCAAGUCAGACCAGUCGAAAGGUGUAAUACUUAACACUCAGGGAUUUAGCAGACAAGAAGUAGAACGACUUAUUGAUGUGUUGAAAAGCACUUUUGAAUUAGAUGCAUGGGAACGCAGACAGAAGGAAGGAUAUCAAAUUUAUAUCUCUGGCUAUAGCUUGGAAAAGUUGUUGGACCAGAUUAAUAAAUGGAUUCAUCCGUCGAUGCGUUACAAGAUUCCUAAAGCUAGACGAACAUAAUUGCCUAAAAUGUAACGGAGGCGCUCGAAGGUUCCCUCAGAUUGGUUGGCAAUCAAUCGCAGAGUGUAAGGGCACAAGGGAGCUUGACUGCGAGACUGACAAGUCGAGCAGGUACGAAAGUAGGACCUAGUGAUCCGGCGGUUCCGAGUGGAAGGGCCGUCGCUCAACGGAUAAAAGGUACUCCGGGGAUAACAGGCUGAUCCCGCCCAAGAGUCCACAUCGACGGCGGGGUUUGGCACCUCGAUGUCGGCUCAUCGCAUCCUGGGGCUGAAGUAGGUCCCAAGGGUUCGUCUGUUCGCCGAUUAAAGCGGUACGCGAGCUGGGUUUAGAACGUCGUGAGACAGUUCGGUCCCUAUCUGCUGUAGGCGUAGGAAAUUUGAGGGGAGUCGUCCCUAGUACGAGAGGACCGGGAUGAACAGACCUCUAGUGUACCAGUUGUUCUGCCAAGGGCAUUGCUGGGUAGCUAUGUCUGGAUUGGAUAACCGCUGAAAGCAUCUAAGUGGGAAGCCAACCCCAAGAUGAGAUUUCCCACUCUUAUGAGUUAAGACCCCAGGUAGACUACCUGGUUGAUAGGCCGCAGGUGGAAGAAUAGAGAUAUUUGCAGCCGAGCGGUACUAAUUGGUCGAGGACUUGAUU